rnacentral:rRNA from 1 species
UAACAAGGUCUCCGUAGGUGAACCUGCGGAGGGAUCAUUACACAAAUAUGAAGGCGGGCUGGAACCUCUCGGGGUUACAGCCUUGCUGAAUUAUUCACCCUUGUCUUUUGCGUACUUCUUGUUUCCUUGGUGGGUUCGCCCACCACUAGGACAAACAUAAACCUUUUGUAAUUGCAAUCAGCGUCAGUAACAAAUUAAUAAUUACAACUUUCAACAACGGAUCUCUUGGUUCUGGCAUCGAUGAAGAACGCAGCGAAAUGCGAUAAGUAGUGUGAAUUGCAGAAUUCAGUGAAUCAUCGAAUCUUUGAACGCACAUUGCGCCCUUUGGUAUUCCAAAGGGCAUGCCUGUUCGAGCGUCAUUUGUACCCUCAAGCUUUGCUUGGUGUUGGGCGUCUUGUCUCUAGCUUUGCUGGAGACUCGCCUUAAAGUAAUUGGCAGCCGGCCUACUGGUUUCGGAGCGCAGCACAAGUCGCACUCUCUAUCAGCAAAGGUCUAGCAUCCAUUAAGCCUUUUUCAACUUUGACCUCGAUCA